rnacentral:rRNA from 1 species
CCCUUAGAUGUCCUGGGCCGCACGCGUGCUACACUGACGCAUACAACGAGUAUUUCCAGCUCCGAGAGGUAGCUGGUAAUCAGCAAUAUGCGUCGUGAUGGGGAUUGAUCUUUGGAAUUGUGGAUCAUGAACGAGGAAUGCCUAGUAAGCGCAGUUCAUCAAACUGCGUUGAUUAAGUCCCUGCCCUUUGUACACACCGCCCGUCGCUCCUACCGAUUUCGAGUGGUCCGGUGAAGCGUUCGGACCGUGGCCUUUGGACGGUUCGCCGUCUGUUGGCUGCGGGAAGUUCGUUAAACCUUAUCAUUUAGAGGAAGGAGAAGUCGUAACA